rnacentral:lncRNA from 1 species
UAACAAAGGAAAAGAACUUUAUUAAGCUACUACCACUAUAACUACUAUAAAAGGAAAAAAAAAAAAAGAAAGCACAAGAUCCAAAAUGAAAACUUUCCAAAACAUUCCUCCUCCCACCACCCAACUCCAAGAAACCACAGUGAGACACAUUUGGACCCUUCAAUAUAAUCAAUACUAAGUCCAUCAGGGGAGAGAGGAGUCUCCCUUGCACCACAGACCCCCAGGAAACACAGCUGCCACUCCUUGUGUUUCCAUGUCACACAUGGCACUGCCCGAAGAAAAAAAAGUUUGCCAGUGUGACCCUCUCCUUUCCAUGCACAGUGCUCUCACCACCAAUGCAUGGAUGGACAGACUGCUUUUAGGAUUUUUUCCUUUCAAGGAUACUCUGCCAAGAGGGAAAAAAACAACAGUUCAGUUUUUCAUUUUUUGGGACCACAGUCCCCCCCAUUUUCUUCCUCCCCUGGGGCCGAGGGUCUCAGGAACAGAGAUCUUCUCUUCUUCUCUGAAGACGGGGGGCAUCACCACAAACCUCCCCAACUUUUCUCUGUUCGCUCCACUCCUGUGUUUUCCUCAGCUGCUGAAGCAGGUCUCUUGGCUCACCAGUAUCCUCCUAAAAUACAGUCUCUCUCUUGGAGAAGAAAAUCAGUUCAGUCUAUGGCUAAAAAGAAAAAGUCCAGCCAGAAGCCACUCCAUCAUCUCCUUCCACCCAGAAUUUCUCCUUCUAAUAUCUCGGGUCCCAGGCUGUGUCUCUUCCUCUCUUUCAAGCCGAAGAGGAGUAAAAUUUCACAAAGCUUUCAUUUCUCAAGGGAGGGUUAAAAGUCCCGACUCCCUGGCUGGCUCCCUGCCCGGAUCUCCGGCUCCCACCUGGGAGCUGGGCACCUUGUGGCCUUGGGGCCCCCCUGCUCUCCUCCUUCCCGCGGUACUGCUGGCAAACCGUCGCUGUCUCUUGAGAGAGAGAGAGACUCUGGCGGGGAACGGAGAUGUCCCAGAUGUUUUCCACCCUUCCAUCUGCAGGGGCCAGCCCGGUUCCAGUCCCUCCACCCUUCGGCCUUACCUCAGCCAGGCCGUGGGCCUUCCCCUCCCCCACCCAGCGAAGAGCCGGGCAGGGGAGAGUCCUGCACUGCACCCUGACCGGAACCAGAGAGAGCGAGUUCCCCUGGGAAUUCUGCUUUCAACCCGUCUGUGUUCUCAGAGGCGUGUCCACCCUCAAUUGGUCACCCCAAGUGUCAAUAUCCAAA